UCUGCUAAGCCCUGCCUAUGC
rnacentral:misc_RNA from 1 species